rnacentral:lncRNA from 1 species
ACCGGCCUAACUUUUGAAUCAAUAUUUAGCUGGUGGGUUAUUACCUCCAGAAGAAUGCCUGGCAUAUCAAUAGCUGAUCAAGCAAAAAUAUCGGUAUUUAUUUUUAUUAGAUUUAUUAGUUGUUGCCGCUCUGGAUCUGACAGCUACGAUUCAAUUUGGAUCAUCUUCUCAGAAUCUUCUUCUUUCAGUGGGAUGAAAAUCAG